CUUUGCGGGCGAGAUGAGAGGUUCGUGUCUUCAACUGGCCUACAAAGUCCCAGUUCUCGGCUCCCAGGACCUGCCGGGUUCGCAGCGGGCGAAGAUGGAGCGCGGCGGCGCUGCUGCCCGGAGCCGCGGGGAUCCGGCCCAGCCCGGCGCGGGCAUCGCUCGCUCGGGCCGUGCCGCCGUGCCCGGAGCCGCCGCUUUCCUGGCGCUGGGGCGGGUGGGUGCCGUAGGGACCGGACGGAGCUGGCGCUCCGCGAGCCGAGCAUUUCAUCUGCUUUCCUUAAAGCUGAAUUCUCUGUAAAGGAGAAGUGAUGAAACCCUGCAGUGAGUCCCAGGUCUCGCUGAACGUUGUGAGGAUGCUGCCAAGGUGACACUGCUCCAGUGCAGGUACGGUAUGAACCAGGGGCUGUACCAGCUGCUGUGCAAUGUGCUCACAUGAAGUCAUCCUGCCAUAGCUGUUGCAGAGUCCCCAGCUCCUCUGUGUAAGCAAGCCCUAAAGAACAAUCCUUAUCUCAGUGACUGUGACUAGAUGAGACAAUGGGCGCAAGAAAGGCACAUUACUAUCAGCUGAGGAUGUGUACUGAUCAACCAGCUGGGAACAAAGAAACUUGGGCUGCUCAAGGCCCCACAGGACUGUCCUGGAAUGCUCUUCCCUGUGGCUGAUUCCAGGAACGUUUUGGAAGUUUUGGAAUUGUUUCUUUCAGGAAUGACUGCUUUGAGACCUUUGAUUUCUGAGGCUGCCCUAUUACAGGAAGCCCCAGGCCCUCUGCUCUUCUCCACAAGGAUUCCUUCAUCUAGCAACUCUCAUGUCCAGCUGAUGCUGAAACGAGAUUGAAGAGCUUGAAUAUUCCUUGGCAAGAUGGGUGGAUGGAAUUCAUUCCUUCUGUUCUGAUCCUGAUAUCCGCCAAUCACCUCAACUGCUAAUGGGCUACUGAGCAACAACCUACUACAGUGGAAUAUUUUGUGCUGAAAACAGGAAGAUCGGGAAUGAGGGUUUGUAACUUUUUUGGAUGUGUUUCUAUGGUUCAGUUUUUAUCUUUAGUAUCACCACCUUACUCAAAAUAAGAAUAUAUGUAAAAAUAAACAUGUUUUUGCUUUGAAAUACUGGAAUACUCCUCCCCAGCUUCUUCCUAUCUCAGCUCUGCCCCUGUGAAGAGAACCCACUUGUGGAUUUUAAAGCCAGAAGGAUGAGUCUGAGCCUCUACCGCUGGAUGUGCACAGAGUAACUCCCGCAGCUCAUCCUGAAGCCAGGGCCCUGAUGAAUGGAUCUUUUCCUUACAUGCUAUGGGAAGCUGGCCUGUACAAAUACAAAUGUCUGACAGGCUGUUGCAGUGCUUUGUAUCCUUGUGCCCUGCACCUCACAGCAAGCUGCAAGUUUCCAGUUGUUUCUUACACAGCCUGCGGAUGAAACCCUUCAUGUAUGUGACUGCGUGUGGUGAACAGGAGAGCACAGCACAGGGGGUUGGUGCUAUUUUUAUCCCAGCUGUUCCCAAAACAGCUCUCCCAGCCAGGCAGGUCACACGCACCCCCUCCAGUUGCCACACUGCCUGUCAGAGCGGAGGGUGGGUGAGCAGAGCUCUGCAGGACACUGGGGACGUGGCCAGGGGCUGAUCUGCAGGAUCCCUCAUGCAUAUCCCACGGGUACACACUGGGAUAACACAGUGCAGCUCUUUAACACUUCAGGACAUUUCCAGCAGACUCAUGAUGUGUUUCUCAGUGCCCAGGCUAAGCCUUGCAUUAAGACUGCAAGAACAAGUCAAGGUUUGGGUUUUAUAAGUUCAGUGUCAAUUCACACCUCUAAUUUGGCCUGGAAAAAUGCAGUAAUAUCUAAAAUAAAGGUGUUGUGAAAAG